UACGAGGGGGGCAAGCGUUGUUCGGAAUUAUUGGGCGUAAAGGGCGCGUAGGCGGUGCGGUAAGUCACCUGUGAAAUCUCUGGGCUCAACUCAGAGUCUGCAGGCGAAACUGCCGUGCUGGAGUAUGGGAGAGGUGCGUGGAAUUCCCGGUGUAGCGGUGGAAUGCGCAGAUAUCAGGAGGAACACCGGUGGCGAAGGCGGGAUCCUGGGCCAGUACUGACGCUGAGGAGCGAAAGCGUGGGGAGCAAACAGG
rnacentral:rRNA from 1 species